rnacentral:rRNA from 1 species
GACGAACGCUGGCGGCGUGCUUAACACAUGCAAGUCGAACGGAAAGGCCUCUUUCGGGGGGUACUCGAGUGGCGAACGGGUGAGUAACACGUGAGUAACCUGCCCUUGACUUUGGGAUAACUUCAGGAAACUGGGGCUAAUACCGGAUAGGAGCUCCUGCUGCAUGGUGGGGGUUGGAAAGUUUCGGCGGUUGGGGAUGGACUCGCGGCUUAUUAGCUUGUUGGUGGGGUAGUGGCUUACCAAGGCUUUGACGGGUAGCCGGCCUGAGAGGGUGACCGGCCACAUUGGGACUGAGAUACGGCCCAGACUCCUACGGGAGGCAGCAGUGGGGAAUAUUGCACAAUGGGUGGAAGCCUGAUGCAGCAACGCCGUGUGCGGGAUGACGGCCUUCGGGUUGUAAACCGCUUUCGCUCAUGACGAAGCUUUGUGUGACGGUAGUGGGUAAAGAAGCACCGGCUAACUACGUG